CCUACGGGUGGCAGCAGUGAGGAAUAUUGGUCAAUGGACGAGAGCCUGAACCAGCCAAGUAGCGUGAAGGAUGACUGCCCUAUGGGUUGUAAACUUCUUUUAUAAAGGAAUAAAACGAGGCACGUGUGCCUUUUUGCAUGUACUUUAUGAAUAAGGAUCGGCUAACUCCGUGCCAGCAGCCGCGGUAAUACGGAGGAUCCGAGCGUUAUCCGGAUUUAUUGGGUUUAAAGGGAGCGUAGAUGGGUUGUUAAGUCAGUUGUGAAAGUUUGCGGCUCAACCGUAAAAUUGCAAUUGAUACUGGCAGUCUUGAGUAGAGUAGAGGUAGGCGGAAUUCGUGGUGUAGCGGUGAAAUGCUUAGAUAUCACGAAGAACCCCGAUUGCGAAGGCAGCUUACUAGACUGCGACUGACACUGAUGCUCGAAAGUGUGGGGAUCAAACAGGAUUAGAUACCCGUGUAGUC
rnacentral:rRNA from 1 species